rnacentral:tRNA from 1 species
UGGCUCAGACAGUAAAGCAUCUGCCUACAAUGCAGGAGGCCCGGGUUCGAUCCCUGG